AUUGAACGCUGGCGGCAGGCCUAACACAUGCAAGUCGAACGAGUGGCGGACGGGUUAGUAAUGUCUGGGAAACUGCCUGUUGGAGGGGGAUAACUCCUGGAAACGGUAGCUAAUACCGCAUACCAUCAGAUGUGCCCAGAUGGGAUUAGCUAGUUGGUGUGGUAACGGCUCACCAAGUCGACGAUCCCUAGCUAGUCUGAGAGGAUGACCAGCCACACGGGAACUGAGACAAGGGCCAGACUCCUACGAGAGGCAGCAGUGGGGAAUAUUGCACAAUGGGCGCAAGCCGGAUGCAGCCAUGCCGCGUGUAUGAAGAAGGCCUUCGGGUUGUAAAGUACUUUCAGCGGGGAGGCGUUACCCGCAGAAGAAGGACCGGCUAACUCCGGGCCAGCCGCCGCGGUAAUUC
rnacentral:rRNA from 1 species